ACGGGAGGCAGCAGUAAGGGAUAUUGGGCAAUGGGGGGAACCCUGACCCAGCCAUGCCGCGUGAGGGAAUGAGGCCCUACGGGUCGUGAACCUCUUUUGCCUGGGGAUAACCCCUCCCGCGCGACGGGGGGCUGCAGGUACCAGGCGAAUAAGCAUCGGCUAACUCCGUGCCAGCAGCCGCGGUAAUACGGAGGAUGCGAGCGUUAUCCGGAUUCAUUGGGUUUAAAGGGUGCGCAGGCGGCGCGUUAAGUCAGCGGUGAAAUGCAGGGGCCCAACCCCGGCAGUGCCGUUGAUACUGGCGCGCUGGAAUGCGGUCGAGGCGGGCGGAAUGUGGCGUGUAGCGGUGAAAUGCAUAGAUAUGCCACAGAACUCCGGUAGCGAAGGCAGCUCGCCAGGCCUGCAUUGACGCUCAGGCACGAAAGCGUGGGGAUCGAACAGGAUUAGAUACCCUGGUA
rnacentral:rRNA from 1 species